rnacentral:rRNA from 1 species
AGAGUUUGAUCCUGGCUCAGGAUAAACGCUGGCGGCGCACAUAAGACAUGCAAGUCGAACGAACAGAAACUAUUCUUAACGAUUAGUAGAAGUUAGUGGCGGACUGGUGAGUAAAGUAUAAGUAACCUGCCUAUGAGAGGGGAACAACAGUUAGAAAUGACUGCUAAUACCGCAUAAGCCAAAUCAAUCGCAUGAUUGAAGUGGGAAAGGAGAAAUCCGCUGAUAGAUGGACUUAUAUCUGAUUAGCUAGUUGGUGAGGUAAAGGCUUACCAAGGCGACGAUCAGUAGCCGGACUGAGAGGUUAAACGGCCACAUUGGGACUGAGAUACGGCCCAGACUCCUACGGGAGGCAGCAGUCGGGAAUAUUGCGCAAUGGAGGAAACUCUGACGCAGUGACGCCGCGUGCAGGAAGAAGGUUUUCGGAUUGUAAACUGCUUUAGACAGGGAAGAAAAAGGACAGUACCUGUAGAAUAAGCUCCGGCUAACUACGUGCCAGCAGCCGCGGUAAUACGUAGGGAGCGAGCGUUAUCCGGAUUUAUUGGGUGUAAAGGGUGCGUAGACGGGAAUUUAAGUUAGUUGUGAAAUCCCUCAGCUCAACUGAGGAACUGCAACUAAAACUGAAUUUCUUGAGUACUGGAGAGGGAAGUGGAAUUCCUAGUGUAGCGGUGAAAUGCGUAGAUAUUAGGAGGAACACCAGUGGCGAAGGCGACUUUCUGGACAGAAACUGACGUUGAGGCACGAAAGUGUGGGGAGCAAACAGGAUUAGAUACCCUGGUAGUCCACACUGUAAACGAUGGAUA